rnacentral:ribozyme from 1 species
GAAAAAAAAAAAAAAAAAAAAAAAAAAACUCAAUCGAAUGAAAAGAUAAUUUUACCACCCAAGUAUUUCGUUGUUGUUCCCUUUUUCUUCCUUCUUGCUCGUUUUCUGGCUAUCUACGAUUUCAAAGCUGUUUAUUUUU